rnacentral:rRNA from 1 species
CCUACGUGUGGCAGCAGUGAGGAAUAUUGGUCAAUGGGCGCGAGCCUGAACCAGCCAAGUAGCGUGAAGGAUGACUGCCCUACGGGUUGUAAACUUCUUUUGUAUAGGGAUAAAGUGAGGCACGUGUGCCUUGUUGUAAGUACUUUAUGAAUAAGGAUCGGCUAACUCCGUGCCAGCAGCCGCGGUAAUACGGAGGAUCCGAGCGUUAUCCGGAUUUAUUGGGUUUAAAGGGAGCGUAGAUGGGUUGUUAAGUCAGUUGUGAAAGUUUUCGGCUCAACCGUACAAUUGCAAUUGAUACUGGCAGGCUUGAGUACAGUCGAGGUAGGCGGAAUUCGUGGUGUAGCGGUGAAAUGCUUAGAUAUCACGAAGAACACCGAUUGCGAAGGCAGCUUACUAAACUGCCACUGACAUUGAUGCUCGAAAGUGUGGGUAUCAAACAGGAUUAGAUACCCUAGUAGUC